rnacentral:misc_RNA from 1 species
UGUAGUCCUCGCUCCACUCUGUGCCAUCAAGCUACAUCGUCUCACAUUCUGCUGUUGCCCUCUUAGUAUAAGCUUCCCUGAUUUUCUUUCUCCUCUCUCUUUAUUCAGGUCGUUGCUCUCACCUUUGGCGGUCAUCAUGCGCGCCACUCAGCGUCGUGUUUCCCAGGUGGGCCCCCGCCAGCCGGUGAACGACCUAGACCCCACCGGUUUCACCAUCCAGCCGAUGCAGCUCCUCAUCGGUUGCGCCGCCUUUAUAGUGACCAUCAUUCUUCUGCACUUCUUCGUGAAGCUCGCAGGCAAGAUGUAAAAGGGCAGGACCGUCUUGGUAUGACACAGGUUGAAGAUGGUCUUGUCGUUGCUUCCUGCCCGUUGUGUGCAUGCACAUGUGCGUCAGGGAUGCGGAUGUGCUUCGUUUGUGCAAUGAUGGGUGCGCAUACGGGCACGCUACAGUCUGAUUGUGUAUAUCUCUGUGGGCCGAAAGGGAGGAGAUACACCGCAGAAGCAUUGCCGAUCUGAAAAGUAUGGAUGCACGCACCCCGCUUAGGGAGCGUUUCAGCGCGGCGUGCUGAGGAGUUGUGUGUGCCGUGAACACUGAAAUCGACGUUCGCUGGCGUUUUCAUGGCGUGUGUUCCAAUUUCCUAAGUCUGUCAGAAAAGAACGACCUGCCUAGAUGAGUCGAUCGGUUUGUCGGAGCAAGUGAAUGUGGUAGUCCUACAUCGAUGGGCUUGAGCGUGAAGUUCUGCAUGUGUAGGUGGCGGACUGUGUAACGUGCACCAUGGACCGCAGGCGGAUGGCGGCAGAACCACAAAGAAACGAAAACCACGUUGCGUCUCUGAUUGGGCUCUGUUUUUCAUGAGACGUGAGGCGACCGUCAAGCGUCGCCAGUGGUGUGCCUCGCUGACCUCAGUGGAUGCAUCACAGGAUUUGUGCAGGCUGGCGAGUGGGAGAGGGAGAGGGAGUGGGGGGGGUAGGGUGGGGGACUUGAGAAGCUUGUUGCGUCGCUGCUAGGGUGCAGUGUCACAUCAACCAUGGGGCGUGCUUCUCUCCGUUCGUUGCUCCCCAUCUGCCGUGUGUGGCCUGUGCGCCGUGGUUUAUCGACAGACCUGCCCCAGCUCUGUGUCUCUGUUGUGAACGCCAAGAAAACCGUAAUGUGCUUGCGCGUCUGUGGCGGUUGCCGGUUCUUUUUGGUUGUUUUUCUAAGAAGAAAAGGAAGAGGGGGCUCGCUGGCUCUGUGCGCGCGUGCGUGUUUUGCCAAUAAAAGGGCCAAAGGCGAAAGAAAGGGAAAUCACCCGCCACGUGCAAGACAGAACCCCCCAAAAAGAAAAGGUGCACAUGAGCUUUUUGUGCUUUAGGACGUCCAAUCGAUGCACCACCACCACCACGAGAAGGAGGGCCUCUCUCCACCGUGUGCGCAUGGAGCGGAAGACGACAGCACACCGAUCAGAAGUUGUGCGCGUGAAACUGGUGAGCAAACGUGGGGCAUGGGUGCGGUUUCUCGCGCCUCAAAUAAACAGCAGUGCGGGCCUCGACUGUUUGUCUGUUUCUUCUUCCUCUCUAGCUGCGGACGGCUUCGUGAAAUGUGGUUUGGGUCUGCAUCAAGCUGGGAGGCCGAUAGUGCUUCUGCCGCGACCGCACAAUGGCGCGCGCACCAGUCUCACUGGUGUGGUGGUUACAUCCCGGCUCACUCUCUCCUACUGUACGCACACACACACACACACACACACACACGCACACAUACACUUCUCUGUCGCCGCACCAUCUCUUGGUUCAGCAGUACAAGAGCACCUUCUGCAAGGCGUUCGCGUAGGCUUGGCGCAGCUGCCUAUUCACCUACGUAGAUACUCCCAC